AUGAGCAGUGAAGAAACAGACAAGACUAUGGGAAAUGCAGUUCUAAAGUGGGGUGACGAUAAGGGGAAGUGAGACCUCUAGUGGCCACCCAGGGAGACACAGAACAGACACCGUGACACUACCCCCCCUCUAAGGAGCAGCUACCAGAUGCUCCUCAGAACAAAAUAACCACAAAACAAAGAGACCAGGAGGGAGGUGGACUGGUGGAGGCAGAACAGGGGGAGGGAUGGCGGGCCAGGCCCGUGUAGGGGAACUGGGACCGGCAGUGAUGGCUCCCCUGGUAGCCCAGGUGGCUCGGUCAGAUCAGGGGGCCAUGGUGGACCCGAAAGUUCAGGGGACCACGAGGGACCAGGCAGUUCAGGUGGCCACGGUGGAUCAGUCCAUUCUCGUUGUGCAGACGGCCAGGGAGGAAUUCGCCAUUUGAGUGGCCCGAACGGAACCUGCCAAUCGGGGAGCCAGUAAGGAGCAGGCUGUGGCGAUGGCCAGGUCACGGCAUUGGGAACGGCAUCGGGAACGGCCUCAGACAAGGGCACCGCCUCGGGAACGGCCUUGGACACGGGUAUCGCCUCCAGAACCAUCUCGGGCCCCGCCUCGGCCUCCGGAACAGCAUCGGGCACUGCCUCGGGAAUGGCAUCGGACAAGGACACCGCCUCGGGAACGACCUCGGCAUCGGGCACCGCCUCGGGAACGGUCUCAGGAACGGCCUCGGACAAGGACACCGCCUCGGGAACGACCUCGGCAUCGGGCACCGCCUCGGGAACGGCCUCGGCAUCGGGCACCGCCUCGGGAACGGUCUCGGCAUCGGGCACCGCCUCGGGAACGGCCUCGGGAACGGCCUUGGACAAGGACACCGCCUCGGGAACGACCUCGGCCUGCGCAUCGGGCACCGCCUCGGCCUCCGGAACAGCAUCGGGCACCGCUUCGGCAUCGGGCACAGCCUCGGGCACCGCCUCGACCUGCGGAACAGCAUCGGUCUCGGGCAUUACAUCGGGAACCGUCUCUGGCACCGUCUCUGGCACCGCAUCGGGCACCGCCUCGGCAUCGGGCACCGCCUCGGCAUCGGACAUUGCAUCGGGAACCGCCUUGG
ensembl:lncRNA